CAGAUGUGGUGGCGGGCACCUGUAAUCCCAGCUACUCGGGAAGCUGAGGCAGGAGAAUUGCUUGAACCCAGGAGGCAGAGGUUGCAGUGAGUAGAGAUCGUGCCACUGCACUCCAGCCUGGGUGACAGAGCAAGAUCCCAUAUCAAAAAAAAAAAAAAAAAAGAAAAAAGAAAUACCUAGGCAAGAUGAAUACCAAAUUUAGGACAGUAGGGAAGGAGAUGUAAUCAGAGAAGUUUACAUAAGGGCCUUGAUUCUGUUAAACUGGGUGGAGGGUAUAUGGGUCUUUCCUAUUAUAUACAUAGUAUGCAAAAAUAAUAUUAUUAACAUAGAAGGUUCCAGGCUUGCACUUUCCCCUGACUCCCUCACCCAAAUUAGUCUGGUAGUGAAGAGGCAGAAAGAGGGCAAGAGGCCCUUGGUCUGAAUCUCUCAAUCUAUCAAACUGGAGAGAAGGCAAUUCUUUAACAAGUGUCAUAAAUAAACUAGAAAUAAAAAAAUUAAAUGAAUGAAAAAGUAUAAAAACUAAAGAAAAAUUUAAAAAUAUAAAAAGAAAGUAGAUUCUAUAUAUUCACAAUUCACCUAGUACUCACAUUAGACAAGUUAGAAGGACAAAUUUAAUUAAAUUUGUUUGAAAUCUAGGAAGAAGGGCUAAAUGUAAGGGGCUUGGGCUUGGAGGUUUUGAGUUAGAAUUAUAUUUGCUUUAAAAUAUCUUUGGGCCGGGCGCAGUGGCUCAUGCCUGUAAUCCCAGCACUUUGGAAGGCCGAGGCAAAAAGAUCACCUGAGGUCAGGAGUUCGAGACCAGCCUGGCAAACAUGGCAAAACCCCAUCUUUACUAAAAAUACAAAAAUUAGCCAGGCCUGGUGGCAUGCGCCUAUAAUCCCAGCUACUCGGGAGGCUGAGGCAGAAGAAUUGCUUGAACUCAGGAGAUGGAGGUUGCAGUGAGCUAAGAUCACGCCACUGCACUCUAGCCUGGGCGACAGAGCAAGACUCCGUUUCAAAAAUAAAUAAAUAAAUAAAUAAAUAAAAUAAAAUGUCCUUGUAAUUGAAUGUAUCAGUAGGCAAAAUAAAAAUCCAUGGAGUUGAAGAUACUCUUUCCCAGUUGUUGAUAUGGCAGGAAGGAAUCAGGAUUGUCCUCGGCCCGACUGGCCUCCUCCAGUCUGCCAAAUAAAUUUCUCCAACUGUUGUUUUUGUUUGUUUGUUUGUUUGUUUGUUUGAGACAAAGUCUUGCUCUGUUGCCCAGACUGGAGUGCAGUGGCAUGAUCUUGGCUCACUACAACUUCUGCCUCCCAGGUUCAAGCAAUUCUCCUGUCUCAGCCUCCCGAGUAGCUGGGAUUACAGGUGCAUGCCACCACACCUGGUUAAUUUUUUGUAUUUUUGGUAGAGAUGGGAUUUCAUCAUGUUGGCCAGGCUGGUCUCGAACUCUUGACCUUGUGAUCUGCCCACCUCGGCCUCCCAAAGUGCCGGGAUUACAGGCAUGAGCCGCCGCACCUGGCUUUUUUUUUUUUUUUUUUUUUUUUUGGGACAGGGUCUCACUCUGUCAACCAGGCUGCAGUGCAGUGGCGCGAUCUCGGCUCACUGCAAUCUCCACCUUCUGGGUUCAAGCGAUUCUCCCACCUCAGCCUCCCGAGUAGCUGGGAUUACAGGCACGUGCCACAAUGCCCGGCUAAACUUUUUUUGUAUUUUUAGCAGAGACACGGUUUCACCAUUUUGGCCAGGCUGGUCUCGAACUCCUGGCCUCAAGUGAUCCACCCACCUUGGCCUCCCAAAGUGCUGGGAUUACAGGCAUGAGCCACUGCACCCGGCCUCUCCAACUGUUUUAAAACAUUUUUAGACCAGGCACUCUGGCUCACACUUAUAAUCCCAGCACUUUGGGAGACCAAUGCAAGAGGAUCGCUUGAAGCCAGCAGUUUGAGACCAGCCUGGGCAACAAAGUGAAACCCGACUCUACAAAAAAUUUAAAAAAUUAUUAUUUUAAAAAGAGGCUGGUUCCAUUGUAGUAGGUUAUCAGAACUUAUUAACAUUAGUGUCAUUAAAGUGGUAUACAAACCCUCACCGCUAAAUUUGACUGGCUUUAAAAAAAAAUUUAUAAAGAUGUAUAAUGUUCAACAGAUUCAUCAAUGCAACAAAGUAUUUACACUACAUAUAAAAAGACUGUUUAAAAGGCUGGGCGCGGUGGCUCACGCCUGUAAUCCCAGCACUUUGAGAGGCCGAGGCGGGCGGAUCACGAGGACAGGAGAUGGAGACCAUCCUGGCUAACACGGUGAAACCCCAUCUCUACUAAAAAUACAACAAAAAAUUAGCCGGGCAUGGUGGUGGGCGCCUGUAGUCCCAGCCACUCGGGAGGCUGAGGCAGGAGAAUGGUGUGAACCCGGGGGGCAGAGCUUGCAGUGGGCCGAGAUCGCACCACUGCACUCCAGCCUGGGCGACAGAGUGAGACUCCAUCUCAAAAAAAUAAAAAUAAAAAUAAAAAAAUAAAAAGACCAUUUAAAGAUGGGUGUGUGUGGUGGCUCAUGCCUGUAAUUCCAGCACUUUGGCAGGCCAAGGUGGGUGGAUUGCUUGAGUCCAGAAGUUCAAGACCAACCUGGGCAACAUGGCAAAAUCCCAUCUCUACUUAAAAAAGAAAAAAUUCACCAGGUGUGGUGGCAUGCGCCUGUAGUCCCAGCUACUCAGGGGGUUGAGGUGGGAAGAUCACUUGAGCCCGGGAGGUGGAGGCUGCAGUGAGCCCUGAUGGUGCCACUGCACUCCAGCCUGGAUAACAGAGUGAGACCCUGUCUCAGAAACAAACAAACAAACAAAAGUUAUAUAUUUUUUCCUUCUUCUUUAAAAAAAAAAAAAUUUUUUUUUUUGAGACAGAGUCCUGCUCUAUUGUCCAGGCUGGAAUGCAAUGGCACAAUCUCGGCUCACUGCAACCUCCAUCUCUCGGGGUCAAGCAAUUCUCCUGCCUCAGCCUCCCAGGUAGCUGGGAUUACAGGUGCCUGCCAACACGUCCAGCUAAUUUUUUGUAUUUUCUUUUAGUAGAAACGGGGUUUCACCAUGUUGGCCAGGCUGGCCUUGAACUCCUGACCUCAUGAUCCGCCUGCCUCGGCCUCUCAAAGCACUGGGAUUACAGGGGUGAGCCACGGCGCCCGGCCAGAAAUAUAUGUAUUUUAAAGAAAACUGAAAAUAGAAACAAACAAACAAAAAAUAAUAGAAAUAUAUAUAUUUACAGUUGCAGUUCCCUCAAAUCUUUGCUCAAAUUUUGCUUCUUCAAUGAUACUUACUUUGAUCCUUCUAUUAUUAUUAUUAUUAUUAUUUUUGAGACUCAGUUUCACUCUGUCACCCAGGCUGGAGUGCUGUGGCAUGAUCUCGGCUCACUGCAACCUCCACCUCCCAGGUUCCAGUGCUUCUCCUGCCUCAGCCUCCCGAGCAGCUGGGAUUACAGGCACCUGCCACCAUACCCAGCUAAUUUUUGUAUUACUAGUAGAUACGGGUUUCGCCAUGUUGGCCAGGCUGGUCUCGAACUGACCACAAAUGAUCUGCCUGCCUCAGCCUCCCAAAGUGCUGGGAUUAUAGACAUGAGCCACUGCGCCCAGCCUGAUCAUUCUGUUAAAUACUGCAGCCUACCACCUGCCCAUUACUCCUGAUUCAGCAUUUCCUGCUGUACCAUUUCUCUCUCUCUUUCUGUUUUUUUAUAAUAGAGAUGGAGUCUUGCUAUGUUACUCAGGCUGGUCCCUAACUCCUGGCCUCAAGCAGUCCUUCAACAUCAGCCUCCCAAAGUACUGAAAUUACAGGCAUGAGCCACAGCACUUGGCCCUACUUUUUUUCAUAGUGCUUUUAAACCUUAUCUGCUGGGCGCAGUGGUUCACGCCUGUAAUCCCAGCACUUUGGGAGGCUGAGACAGGUGGAUCACCUGAGGUCAGGAGUUUGAAACCAGCUUGGCCAACAUGAUGAGACCCUGUCUCAACUAAAAAUACAAAAAUUAGCUGGGUGUGGUGACGGCACCUGUAAUCCCAGCUACUCAGGAGGCUAAGGCAGGAGAAUUGCUUGAACCCAGAAGGCAGAGGUUGCAGUGAGCUGAGGUCGCGCCACUGCUCUCCAGCCUGGGUAACUGAGCGAGACUCCGUCUCAGAAAUAAAUAAAUAAAUAAACCUUAUCUAUCUAAUACUUACUAUAUAAUCUACAUAUUGGGCCGUGCGCAGUGGCUCACGCCUUAAUUCCAGCACUUUAGGAGGCUGAGGCAGGUGGAUCACUUGAGGCCAGGAGUUCAAGGCCAGCCUGAGCAACAUGGCAAAACCCCAUCUCUAUUAAAACUACAAAAAUUAGCUGGGUGUGGUGGUGCAUGCCUGCAGUCCCAGCUACUCAGGAGGCUGAGGCACAAGAAUCACUUGAAUCCCUUGAACCCGGGAGGCAGAGGUUGCAGUGAACCAAGAUUGUACCACUGUACUCCACCCUGGGCGACAGAGAAAGACUGUUUCAAAAAAAAUUUUUUUUUAAUCUACAUACUUAGAUUUAAUUUUUAUAAUCUGUUCCUCUGUUGUGCGUACACACACUAGAAUGUAAACCCCACAAGUGUAAGGAUAUUCUAUUCUGUUCCCUAAUGUAUCCAAAUAUUUGAAUAGUACCUACCCUGAUGAGGCACCCAGUAAAUAUGUGCAGGAUAAAUAGGUUCUGAGAGAGAGAUUCAGGAUAAAGAAGACAUUUUGAACACAUGCAUUUGCUCCCUCCCCAAACUAUAGUAAAAUAACAGUAAAGGGUUUUUGAGAGGUAUAAUCCCACAAGGACAAAAGAAUGGGGAAGAGACCACAAUAAAAUUUUGGAAGGUGGAAAACAGAUUAUGAGUAAUAGCUGUCUUAGUAGAACCUGGAAAGCUGAAGCUUCAGCAGGCAGCGGGGGUAGCCAAAAGCAAAGUAGUUUACACCAAAGAACCCACAAAGGUUCAAGAUUUGGUGGCCCCAGCUACCUUUGGAAGGGGAGGAGAAAGGGGAAGGUAUGGCUAAGAAUAGAAUAAUUGUUGAAGAAAUUGUUAGUUCUCCUGACUCCAGGUAAAACACUGGAGGUCGAUUCAUCAGAAAGAGUGAAAUCAAGGAUCUCUUGACUGGGGAAUACCAGAAUCAGUUAAAGGCUGAGUUAUAGCAUCAGUCUGGGUCCAUUCAGGAGACAGAAACUACACGGUAUUAUAGAAAAAAAGAGCAAAGGCUAAAGACUAAUAUUUGUAUACCGAAUGUUGGACUUCUUAGUCUUCCAAGAACUUCUCCUCUUUCAGCUUCUAGAAU
rnacentral:lncRNA from 10 species